rnacentral:lncRNA from 1 species
AUAUUUAGUUCUCUGACUUUAUUACCAAUUCCAUGGAGCACAAUGUUUUUCUUCAAAUCAUUAUGAGGAUUAUACUCAGUCUGAGAAUUUGACACCUGCUGUUUCAAAACUUGAUCACAAACAUUUCAGGAUAUAUAUCAGUUAGUACAGAAGAGAUGAAUAAGAUUCAGACUGCAAUAACGUAGGAAGAUUAAAAAAAGUCAAAAUAAAUAUUAUUCCCAGUAAGUAAAAUAAGUCGAAACAGUUAUCCAGAAUCUGGAGUGAAUAUGUUACGUGUGUUUAAAUUAGUAUUAUCAAAUAUACAACAGAGUGCUAAAAAAAAAAAAAAAAAAAAACCCACAACAAAAAACAAGACUCCUACUAGCAGAGGAAGUAAUAUUGUUUGAAUCCCUUAACAAACUGUCAGUACGAAAGCAGCAAGACUACAGGAUACAGCUGAUGGUUAGAUGGUUAAGCUCACAACACCAGAAAUGCUUGAAUGAGAAAGAAUGGAACAUCAUUAGAUGAUAAUGGCAGCAACAUUUUCAGUUACUGUAUUAUACAACUGAAAAUCUAUUUGGAUUUAACAAGUUAGGAUUCAACUCUGUCAGACUUGGCAUAGUAUAGUACAGACCUGAACAUAACCACAAAAACAGAACCUUCUCUUAUGUUUACAUAAAUAAUGUGAUUAUUUCUGACAGUCUGUGAUACCUACACAGCCAUGUAUGUCACAGAUAGAAAAGUUGGAAGAAACAAUAGGAAUCCCUGUAAAGAUAAGAAACAGAUUGAGGCACGGCUAAUGAUGAAGGGAAUAAUCAUGCUUUGGUCCUUUGAUAGGACCAGGUAGCUAUCACAUAACAUAGCCCAUAAAGGUGUUUACAGUUCCAGUAACCGUAAGUGUUGAAACCAUCAGACACCUUCUCCCUCACCUGCAACUCUGAAUUAUUCCAAAGACAGGAAGAAUGGCACACAGCAAACAUGGGCAAGAAAGUAAUCCAGGGCAUAAAAGUUCUUGAGUUCACCAAGUGAGAAGAAAAAAUAUAAAUAUAUUGAACAAGGAAUAGAAGUUUGAUCCUCCUCCAGCACCAAUGAAUCUCAAAUCUGUGGCAGAAUCAGAGGAAGACUGGGAUGAUCUCUACCACUCCCAAAACAGCAUUUAUGAAGAACAAAUGUACAUCCUGUGGUGCUGCUUUCUAGUGUUUAAAAAAAAAAAAAAAAAAGAAAGAAAGAAAAAUGUAUCUAGUAUAGUGCCAAAAACAUGUUUCAUGCAAGAGAUGGGAUGUGACAAAAAGGAAAGGGUGUCUGAAUCACCCCACAGUUUCAACUUGGAAAAAAAAAUCUGGCCAUUACCAGAUGGCUAAGGAAGACAAAGAGCAGGGCAAGCAUGCAUACGCAAUACCAUCCCAGACACCAACUGUUUGCAGCAUGGGGACUUCCAAAGCUGGAUGUGGUUUCUACACAUUUAAAAAACUUCAAAGGAUUUCUUUUCCUUAAGCUUGUCCAGUCUCUCUGGAAUCCAUCUCAACUUUUACCAUUCAGGAAAAGAAAUAGGGAAUGAAGGACAACUGUUCAUAUGCCUUAAACUGAGGUGAAGGAGGUGAAUGAGGAUCUGGGUUUAACUGCACAUUCUUCCUCUGGUUCAACCUAUAGUUCUGGCAAUGACAUUCAAAUUCACCUCACCAGUAUGAGAACUGCAGUAAACUUUUACUCCAUUUAUAGCACACUGGAGACAGAAGACUGUUGUCAAAACUGGUUUGGACCUUGAAGAGAAUUAAUACAAGUCAUGAAUUGCCAAACGACCCUUAGGAGAAUCCUCAGAUGUUCUCCCCCAUUUCCUUACACUUAGAGUGCCUAUCACAUAGGGAUCUAUAAAGGACACAAACUUUACUCUCCUUUCAGCUUUGUGCUGAAAUCACUGAGCCAGCAUGCACUGGCAAUCUGUGAUUCAGGGAAUUUGGAGGAGGAAAAAAAAAGAAAAAAUAGACUGGGGAAACAGAAAGUCUCAGAAGAUCUCUAGUUAAGGGCAAGAGAAGAAAGAACUUCCAAGCGAACAGUCCAAUUACUUCCAACAGUCCAUUACUUCCAAGGAAGUAAUGACAGUCACCUCAAGGCUGAGGACAGGCCACAUUAUCUCAGUCCCUCUCUACAGCACCAACAUGGUUCCCCAUACUUCUCUUCACAGUACAUAUCACCACACCAAACAGCGUGGGUAACAGGAACAUGAACGAAAGAGAUGCAGUAAUGAGAGUGUGUUUCUCCACAACUAAAAAUGGAGGAGAAAGUUUUCAGUAAUAUUGCUGCUAUUCUUCUUGUAUAUUUAGGUGUAUCAUCUGCCUAGAUGAUUUAGAUAUAGAUCAAUUGCAUGCUAGUACUAGGUGCCUUGGAAGGG